CGUACACCACCGUCGUCCCUAAUUUCUUCAUUCUCAUUCUUCAUUGUUCCCAAAUUUCUUCCCAGUUUCUUCCCUAAUUUCUUCCCAAUUUCUCCCAAAUCACAAUCACAAGUUCUUCGUUUUCACCUAAAACUGUUCAAAUUACUCGUUCAAUCUUCAGAUUCAAACUCGCGUGUGAGUAACGAAAGCACAAGAUUCAGAUUUUUCGUUCGAUCUUCGUUUGAUCUUCCUUCAGAUUCAACCUUCUUCUUACCCUAAGUUAUUCAAUCUUCGUCUUCACCCUAAGAUUAAGAUUCGAAUUCGUUCGUUUCAAUCUAAGCUUCAGAUUCAAACAACUCGUUUGUUCAAAGUAAGCUUCAAAUUCUCCUCAAAUUCUUCAAUUAACCUUCAAAAUCAACUUCAGGGAAUUUUAUUGUUGAUAUUGCAGACGGUUGUGCAAAUCUGAGUCCCAAGCACUACAAGAUUACUCUGAAGUAGAACAGUAGUAAAGUGAAAGGCUUCUUGUUUAUUCUACAACAUCUAUCUGGCAUGGCUGGUAGUUGCUAGUUCUUUGUAUCAGGGAUGAUAUAGUCAAAUGAGCAGGAAAAAGAACUGGUACGCCAGUUAUUUAUUAGGAUAUAGUCUUGUCGCAACAAUUGCUUCGUCUUUGGCAUAGCUUCAGAUUCCUGCAUUUCAGCUAA